GAGUGAGGCUGGAAGUUUGGGGCUUGCCACAUGGUUUCCCAGAGCACUGUUUCACAUCUGAGUGAAGUACCUGGUAAAUUAACACGGAGCUAUCCCUGACACUGAACAUAAAUGGAAUUCAAUCAGGUUCCAACUUUAAACAGGAGGACUGAGGAGACUUCUUAAAUGAGACAGCCGGAGCCUUUUUACAACAUGUUGUGUUGGUGACUGGAUAGUUCUGGGGACUAAUGAGGAGAUAUAAAAUCACAGUGAAGUUGGUGACCAUUUCUAAUCCAAAGCAAGUGAAGAAAGUGAAUGGUGCCCUGCCUUAGCUUCCUUUAUGUGCUUCCAGUUUUCUGAAAUCAGCCAUGUCUUCUGCAGAUAGGACUGUAACAGCUUGAUGGAUACCUCAGGAUCAGUUUAUACACGAGAAGUUUUCUUCAACAGCUUUCCAGCCCUGAGCAGCACUGGACCAAGCCGUGGUGUUGGUUCUCCAGAGCAGCAGCAGCAGCAGCCCUAGCAGCCAUCCCUUCUCUGAGCGUGGAAGUCUGUGUUUCCUGAAUCAACACACUCAGCACUUGGCUUUUUCUUCCCGCUAUUACUCAGAUCACAGCCCUGAUCACAUCGUGCACUACACACAUCGCUUAUGCUGCUG
rnacentral:lncRNA from 1 species